UCUCUCGUAGCUUAAUGGUUUAAGCAUUGGUGUAUAAAGCGAAAGGUCCCGGGUUCGAUUCUCGGCGGGGGCG
rnacentral:tRNA from 1 species